rnacentral:rRNA from 1 species
GUGAACGCUGGCGGUAGGCCUAACACAUGCAAGUCGAACGGCAGCGCAGUAAGCGCUUGCUCUUACGGGUGGCGAGUGGCGGACGGGUGAGGAAUACAUCGGAAUCUACUUUUUCGUGGGGGAUAACGUAGGGAAACUUACGCUAAUACCGCAUACGACCUACGGGUGAAAGCAGGGGAUCUUCGGACCUUGCGCGAUUGAAUGAGCCGAUGUCGGAUUAGCUAGUUGGCGGGGUAAAGGCCCACCAAGGCGACGAUCCGUAGCUGGUCUGAGAGGAUGAUCAGCCACACUGGAACUGAGACACGGUCCAGACUCCUACGGGAGGCAGCAGUGGGGAAUAUUGGACAAUGGGCGCAAGCCUGAUCCAGCCAUACCGCGUGGGUGAAGAAGGCCUUCGGGUUGUAAAGCCCUUUUGUUGGGAAAGAAAAGCAGCAGGUUAAUACCCCGCUGUUCUGACGGUACCCAAAGAAUAAGCACCGGCUAACUUCGUG